rnacentral:rRNA from 1 species
AUCAACGCUGGCGGCGUGCCUAACACAUGCAAGUCGAGCGCGAAAGCGGGGCAACUCGCAAGUAGAGCGGCGAACGGGUGAGUAACACGUGGGUGAUCUGCCUCCGAGUGGGGAACAACAGCGGGAAACUGCUGCUAAUACCGCAUGACAUCUUCGGGUCACAGCGAAGAUCAAAGCCGGGGACCGCAAGGCCUGGCGCUUGGAGAGGAGCCCGCGCCGAUUAGCUAGUUGGCGGGGUAACGGCCCACCAAGGCGACGAUCGGUAGCCGGCCUGAGAGGGCGGACGGCCACACUGGGACUGAGACACGGCCCACGACUCCUACGGGAGGCAGCAGUGGGGUAAUUUUUCGUCAAUGGGCGCAAGCCUGACGAAGCAACGCCGCGUGGGGGAUGAAGGUCUUCGGAU